rnacentral:piRNA from 1 species
AUGAACAACAGAGCCAGUGAAAGAAG